rnacentral:rRNA from 1 species
UGAACGCUGGCGGCAGGCCUAACACAUGCAAGUCGAGCGGAUGAAGGGAGCUUGCUCCUGGAUUCAGCGGCGGACGGGUGAGUAAUGCCUAGGAAUCUGCCUGGUAGUGGGGGAUAACGUCCGGAAACGGGCGCUAAUACCGCAUACGUCCUGAGGGAGAAAGUGGGGGAUCUUCGGACCUCACGCUAUCAGAUGAGCCUAGGUCGGAUUAGCUAGUUGGUGGGGUAAAGGCCUACCAAGGCGACGAUCCGUAACUGGUCUGAGAGGAUGAUCAGUCACACUGGAACUGAGACACGGUCCAGACUCCUACGGGAGGCAGCAGUGGGGAAUAUUGGACAAUGGGCGAAGGCCUGAUCCAGCCAUGCCGCGUGUGUGAAGAAGGUCUUCGGAUUGUAAAGCACUUUAAGUUGGGAGGAAGGGCAGUAAGUUAAUACCUUGCUGUUUUGACGUUACCAACAGAAUAAGCACCGGCUAACUUCGUG